rnacentral:rRNA from 1 species
AACGUAGGAGACAAGCGUUAUCCGGAGUUACUGGGCGUAAAGGGCGUGUAGGUGGUUUCGUAAGUCUGGCGUGAAAUUUUUCGGCUUAACCGGGAAAGGUCGUCGGAUACUGCGAGGCUAGAGGACGGUAGAGGCGUGUGGAAUUCCGGGUGUAGUGGUGAAAUGCGUAGAGAUCCGGAGGAACACCAGUGGCGAAGGCGACACGCUGGGCCGUACCUGACACUGAUGCGCGACAGCAUGGGGAGCAAACAGG